UGAUUGCCUCUCUGCUGGCAUUUCAUAGACAGUGAUUGUCAUGUGAGUGAGCAGGUCUGGAGACCUGGAGGAGGAGGAGGGAGGCUUUUCAUUAGCUUGCCUCACUUCCUUUGGACAGAAACAGAUGCAAAUUCAGAUGUGUGUGUUUUUUUUAAUUACAUUUGGCGCCAGACAGAACUGGUGUGAGGAGGAUAGAAGCCAGAAAUACAGGUGAUUUUGUAAAAAUAAAUGGUAGAUUUGCUGUUCAGUCUUACUGUGCUGUGUUAGAGCUAAAAUAUAUUACAUUUGUUCGUUUUCUUAAAGUAAUAUCACGUAGGGAACAGACUCUGGAUUAUGAAUGAAAUUGGGUGAUCUAAAACAGCCGUGUCAUUUAUACUGUGUUAUAAAGAAGUAAUAAGGAAGUAAAACCAGCUGAGGUGAAAAGGUGCUGGCUUCUAAGCAGCAAGAGACAAAGUGAUAUCCAUAGGAGGCCUGUUAGAGGUUAUUGAAAUAAGUGCAGAAUUCUCCCUCUAUUGACUUCUCGUAGUGGUCAUUUAUGAGAUGUGUUUCUGUAUAUUACUGGGCAUAUUUAUCUUCAAAAGGAGACAAGUAAAGGCCUUGAACUGUCCAUUUGUAUGUCAGUCAGUCAGUCAGUCAGUCAGAGAGCACAGUGAAGUGUGAUGUGUGUGUUAAGUGGGAGCUGGUUUGGGUUGGUCGGGACGGCUUUGUCCACUGCUUUGGCUUUUGUUCCUUUUAAUAAUGAAUUGCGGAGGCCUUGGCUUGAGCCGGCCUGUCUCAUAGCAACUGAAGACAGAGUGGCGAGGCGAGGCGAGGGGAGAGAAGGGCAGAGACAAUCACGGGCGUAUGUCUGUCUCUCGUGGGGCAGACAGACAGACCAGGGCUCAGUCCAGCACACUGAAGAAUACUUAGCAUGCAAAGAGGAGGAAAACCUAUUUGCUUUGUAUAAUGUGAUCUAUUACUUCCAGAUAACACUGUCAUUUAAAAAAAAAAAAACUGUAGCUGUGUCAUUGUCUGGCAUCACAGCUCUCAUGUUGUCAACCAACGUUCCAUUCCACUGUUCCACUUAUUUCUUGUCAUGAUCUUCCCAAAUGAACCAGGGACAAACACAUGCUGGAUAUGUGCAUGUUGUAAAACAUGGAAUAUACACGUAGUAAUACAUAGAGUCUAUGACCUCAAAUGGGCAUCUAACCUUAUGAAUCAGCUGUCGUUGAUUAAUGGAAGCCUGUUCCCCUGUAUAUUAAUGUUUGUCCUCAGGUCAGCUGGCACCAGUCACCCGAGACGGGUGUGCGUGUGUGCACAUGCUGUGUCUGUUUGUGUGUGUGCUUCUGCGCCCUCGUUCACACUGAGCUAGAGUUUUAUUAACCGACGGCAGACCGCUCGAGGCUGGCAAUGUUUGCCCUGUGACCCAGACACUACCUGUCUGCUGCCAUGGUUACAUGGACGGAGCAGAUUUAGUGGCCUGACUCCAGGGAUCACUUUCCCUGUGUUAACAAUCAACCCUGCACCCUCACGGCCAUAAAACAGCCACCCUGCUGCCCCACGGGCCAGGAGAGACCAGGACACAUCAACCCUGGUGCCCUGACGGCUGUUAAAGAUGUCCUAAGUGCCCUGUAAGAUUAGCUGUACGGCCUAAUUGCUGUGGUGUCAGUGAGCGUCUCUCCCUUUGUGAUCGGGUUCACUUGGAGCUGUUAGCCUUGUUAAAUGAAAGAGCGCUGUUACAGAGGGUGGCAAGAAGUCCAGAUGAAAUGGACUUGAAUGCAGCAAUACAGUGACUUGCACUGUUGCAGGUGUCCACCAGAUGCUGCAAGCAGACAGAGCCUUUGCAGAAAAACCACAUGAUUUCACAUGUGGAAAAUCAUCUGAUUUCACGUGACAUUUCCACAUGUUUUGCACAUGAGAAAUCAUGUGUUUUUGGAACACAUGACGUGAUGAUAUUUCACAUGUGGAUUUUCACAGAAUCCGGUGAGGCACAGCAAGAGAUGUGGAUCCAGCGGGGGAAAAAGAGAGGAAGAGAGAAGCUGCUCAGAAUUUCACCCCCGGAUUCAGAACGUUUCGGAAUCGCCUCUACUGCAGAAUAUUUUGUUCAGCAGAGGGAGCAGAGAGAUUGUGGUGUGGUACAUCCUCCACUAAUGAGUUUCCUUGCCCAAGUCAGACUGUGGGGAGAAUAUGGGGCUGCAUGACUGACUCAGACCUUGGCCGAUGGCACGGGACUUUUGGCCAAUCAGAGAACCCCAUGGUCAGACAGACGGACAGCCCUAGCAGACCUGAGCCCUAGGACCAUGCCUCAGGACUACCUGGCAUGAUGACUCCUUGCUGUCCGCAGUCCACCUGGCCGUGCUGCUGCUCCAGUUUCAACUGUUCUGCCUGUGAUUAUUAUUAUUUGACCAUGCUGGUCAUUUAUGAACAUUUGAACAUCUUGGCCAUGUUCUGUUAUAAUCUCCACCCGGCACAGCCAGAAGAGGACUGGCCACCCCUCAUAGCCUGGUUCCUCUCUAGGUUUCUUCCUAGGUUUUGGCCUUUCUAGGGAGUUUUUCCUAGCCCACCGUGCUUCUACACCUGCAUUGCUUGCUGUUUGGGGUUUUAGGCUGGGUUUCUGUGCAGCACUUUGAGAUAUCAGCUGAUGUACGAAGGGCUUUAUAAAUACAUUUGAUUUGAUUUGAUUUGGACUUAACAUCUGUCCUGUCCAAAAAUAAAUCGAGAAAUUACAAUAGUGGAUCCAAACUCUCAUCUCCUUUUCAAAAAAAUGAAAACAAGUUGUCUUCCUGACCUGGUUGACUGGGACUAAGGUACUGGAGUACCAGUGUAGGCCGCCGGGUCUGUGAUGGUCCUUUGGGGUGAGGUAGUAGGUUGUAUAGUUUUAGGGUCAUACCCUUCCUGUCAGAUAACUAUACAACUUACUGUCUUUCCUGAAGUGGCUGUAAUAUCAUCCAUCAUCUCUGCAGCGCGCCCGCCACCCGGACCUCGAUGGGAAUAUGUACUAUGAACCAAUUCAAGAUGAUAACAUGCUUGUAAUGUCAUUCAUAUGCAUCAUUUGGUUCUGUUUUGGUAUGGCUCUUUGUUCAUUUCAAUACUUUUGUUUGUAUGAUGUAUUUAUUAUUUUGCCCCAUGAAAGUGAUCUGCCUCUCUGAUGUUCGCACAGGGUGAGGUAGUAGGUUGUGUGGUUUCAGGGUAGUGAUUUUGCCCCAUGAAAGUGAUCUGCCUCUCUGAUGUUCGCACAGGGUGAGGUAGUAGGUUGUGUGGUUUCAGGGUAGUGAUUUUGCCCCAUGAAAGUGAUCUGCCUCUCUGAUGUUCGCACAGGGUGAGGUAGUAGGUUGUGUGGUUUCAGGGUAGUGAUUUUGCCCCAUGAAAGUGAUCUGCCUCUCUGAUGUUCGCACAGGGUGAGGUAGUAGGUUGUGUGGUUUCAGGGUAGUGAUUUUGCCCCAUGAAAGGGAUCUGCCUCUCUGAUGUUCUUCACAGGGUGAGGUAGUAGGUUGUGUGGUUUCAGGGUAGUGAUUUUGCCCCAUGAAAGGGAUCUGCCUCUCUGAUGUUCGCACAGGGUGAGGUAGUAGGUUGUGUGGUUUCAGGGUAGUGAUUUUGCCCCAUGAAAGGGAUCUGCCUCUCUGAUGUUCGCACAGGGUGAGGUAGUAGGUUGUGUGGUUUCAGGGUAGUGAUUUUGCCCCAUGAAAGGGAUCUGCCUCUCUGAUGUCCGCACGGGGAGAGGUAGUAGGUUGUGUGGUUUCAGGGUAGUGAUUUUGCCCCAUGAAAGGGAUCUGCCUCUCUGAUGUCCGCACGGGGUGAGGUAGUAGGUUGUGUGGUUUCAGGGUAGUGAUUUUGCCCCAUGAAAGGGAUCUGCCUCUCUGAUGUCCGCACGGGGUGAGGUAGUAGGUUGUGUGGUUUCAGGGUAGUGAUUUUGCCCCAUGAAAGGGAUCUGCCUCUCUGAUGUCCGCACGGGGUGAGGUAGUAGGUUGUGUGGUUUCAGGGUAGUGAUUUUGCCCCAUCAGGAGAUAACUAUACAACUUACUGCCUUCCCUGAAGGGCAGCAACACCACACCAGACAACUGCAGAGGGCGCUGUUGGCACCACGUGAUAAUCAAGCAUUGGAACGAGGUCAUCUAGCUUUUGAUCAGCUACAGAGGUGACUGCAGCGUCUCAGGUAAAGUCUACUGACAAUCUAGUAUUACGAUGUAGCUACCAUGUUAUUUGAUCACUUUGAAAUAGUAUUUAUUCAAAUAAGCAAUAAAAAAGUAUUCUUUGAUAAAUGUCAACUGUCUGUACUUGGUCUUUCAUUUUGCUCUGUUUAGAUUUAAGAAUCAUAUGAAACUCCUCAGCAGAUGAUAGACAGUACUCUAGCUCCCUAGUCCUAGCCAACAACGCAGAGAGAUAGAGAGAAGACGGAGUGUGUUUGCCAGUCAGUAUCGGGCCAAUAUGGGUUUCAGACGUGCCUUACUGUCUAGGACUGCAGUCUGUCUGCUGUAUCUCAUAGCAAGGACAGAUAGAUUUAUUGCCCUGGCUGGUCCAGGCCUGGUUCAGGUUCACACCGGGACCUUUACCUUGGUGCCUGGCCUUGAGCAGUUCACAGGCAGAUAGCUGUAACUCUUUCUUUGGUCUCAUGGGUGGAAUGUUAUUAAUCUAUUUCAUGAUUAAUAAAGAUUAUACCUUUUUUAAACAUCUCAAA